rnacentral:lncRNA from 1 species
GGCAAGAAAAUGCUGAGCUAGGGAUUUUACAUUCUUAGCUCAAGGUCCUUCCGUAUAAGGAAUCUGAACUCUUCUAUGAAGAGGACCCUGAAAGAUACCUUAGUCUGAAAUCCUGGGAUACAUGUCCAUUUGGAAACCACUCUGUGUUAGUCAGCUUUUCACUGUGACCAAAAUACCUAAAAGGAACAACUCAGAGGAGGAAGCUUGUGGUUUCCGAGGUGGCAGUCCCUGGUAGGCCAGCUCCAUUGCUUUGGGCCUGAGGUGAAAGGAAAUGGCAGAGGAAAGUUGUUCAGCUCACAGCAGCCAGGAGAAAGAUGAAGGGGGGAGGACAGAGAAGAGGAAGAAGGCCAGGGAUGAGAUAUAUUUCCCAAGGGCACCCUAUAAUCCAUUCACAUUAACCCAUCCAAAGAAUUAUCCACCAAUAAGGUCAGAGUCCUCAUACUCCAAUCAUGUCCUAAAAGCCCCACCUGUGGACAUUGCUGGAUUGCCUUCAGCACAUGAGCUUUUGAGAGACAGUCCGGAUCCAAAUUCUAAUACCACCUCACCUCACUAGUAUGAGAAUAAAAGAGAUAAUGAAGAAAAAGGAGAGGGGAGGAGAGCAGUCAGCUAAGGCAGACCCUGAGGCACCCAACACUCAGGUGGAUUCGAAGGCACCC